GUAUAGUCUUGCUACCUCGCUACUGUUAUAGCCUCGCUACUGGUAUAGCCUCGCUACCUCGCUACUGUUAUAGCCUCGCUACUGGUAUAGCCUUGCUACCUCGCUACUGUUAUAGAUGGUAAUAGGUGCUCACGUUGCCCCUAGUGGACGUUAUCGAAGACAUCUCCCUACGAGAUGGUAAUAGGUGCUCACGUUUCCCCUAGUGGACAGUAUUGAAGGCAUCUCCCUACUAGAUGGUAAUAGUUGCUCACGUUGCCCCUAGUGGACGUUAUCGAAGACAUCUCCCUACUAGAUGGUAAUAGGUGCUCACGUUGCCCCUAGUGGACAGUAUUGAAGGCAUCUCCCUACUAGAUGGUAAUAGGUCACGUUGCCCCGAGUGGACGUUAUUGAAGACAUCUCCCUACUAGAUGGUAAUAGGUGCUCACGUUGCCCCAAGUGGACGUUAUUGAAGACAUCUCCCUACUAGAUGGCAAUAGCUGCUCACGUUGCCCCAAGUGGACGUUAUUGAAGACAUCUCCCUACUAGAUGGCAAUAGCUGCUCACGUUGCCCCUAGUGGACAGUAUUGAAGGCAUCUCCCUACUAGAUGGGAAUCGCUGCUCACUUUGCCC